UACGGAGGAUGCGAGCGUUAUCCGGAUUUAUUGGGUUUAAAGGGCGCGUAGGCGGACUGUCAAGUCAGCGGUAAAAUUGAGAGGCUCAACCUCUUCCCGCCGUUGAAACUGGUGGUCUUGAGUGGAUGAGAAGUACGCGGAAUGCGUGGUGUAGCGGUGAAAUGCAUAGAUACCACGCAGAACUCCGAUUGCGAAGGCAGCGUACCGGCAUCCAACUGACGCUGAGGCACGAAAGUGUGGGGAUCAAACAGG
rnacentral:rRNA from 1 species